rnacentral:rRNA from 1 species
AGAGUUUGAUUCUGGCUCAGAACGAACGCUGGCAGCGUGGAUUAGGCAUGCAAGUCGAACGAGAAGCUAUGUUUUCAAUUCUUCGGAAGAGAAUUUGUAGUGGACAGUGGCGGAAGGGUGAGUAACGCGUGGAUAACCUACCCUUGAGUUGGGGACAACAUCCGAAAGGAGUGCUAGUACCGAAUGUGGUAACUCCGUGCAAACGGAGCUCACUAAAGACGGGGAUUCUUCGGAACCUGUCGCUCAAGGAGGGGUCCGCGUCCCAUCAGCUUGUUGGUAAGGUAAUGGCUUACCAAGGCAUACGGGUAGCCGGCCUGAGAGGGUGAUCGGCCACACUGGGACUGAGACACUGCCCAGACUCCUACGGGAGGCUGCAGUCGAGGAUCAUUCGCAAUGCGCGAAAGCGUGACGAUGCGACGCUGCGUGGAGGAUGACGGCCUUAGGGUUGUAAACUCCUGUCAUGAGGGAAAAACGGCCAUAAGGUUAAUAGCCUUAAGGUGUGAUGGUACCUCAAGAGGAAGCCACGGCUAACUCUGUGCCAGCAGCCGCGGUAAUACAGAGGUGGCGAGCGUUGUUCGGAUUUACUGGGCGUAAAGGGUGCGUAGGUGGCAAUGUAUGUCGGAUGUGAAAUCUCGAGGCUCAACUUCGAAAUUGCAUCCGAGACUGCAUAGCUUGAGUACAGGAUGGGAGAGCGGAAUUCUUGGUGUAGCGGUGAAAUGCGUUGAUAUCAAGAAGAACACCGGCGGCGAAGGCGGCUCUCUGGGAUGUUACUGACACUGAGGCACGAAAGCUGGGGGAGCAAACAGGAUUAGAUACCCUGGUAGUCCCAGCCGUAAACGGUGCACACUUGGUGUUGGAGGUAUUGACCCCUCCAGUGCCGGAGCUAACGCGUUAAGUGUGCCGCCUGGGGAGUACGGCCGCAAGGCUAAAACUCAAAGAAAUUGACGGGGGCCCGCACAAGCGGAGGAGCAUGUGGCUUAAUUCGAUGCAACGCGAAGAACCUUACCAGGGCUUGACAUGGGGACCCUUCGGGGGUGGUAGCGAAAGCUACCUUUACCAUCACAGGUGCUGCAUGGCUGUCGUCAGUUCGUGCCGUGAGGUGUUGGGUUAAGUCCCGCAACGAACGCAACCCCUGUGGUUAGUUGCCACCGCCGGUGAUGAGCCGGCGAGCACUCUAGCCAGACUGCCCGUACAAGCGGGAGGAAGGUGGGGAUGACGUCAAGUCAGUAUGGCCC